rnacentral:antisense_RNA from 17 species
CGUUAUGGGCGGGCCGUGUGUGGGGGCCUUACGGCCCGCCGGUUCCCGUUUCCGGUCCGCCAACCCGCACGGUUCCGCUCACCCA